GAUGAACGCUAGCGGCAGGCCUAAUACAUGCAAGUCAAGGGGCCAGUAAUGGCACCGGCGGACGGGUGCGUAACGCGUACACAACGUACCUUUGGGUGGGGGAUAGCAUCGGGAAACUGAUGGUAAUACCCCAUAAUGAUUCAGGGAGGCAUUUCCUUGGAUUUAAAGCUCCGGCGCUUAGAGAUUGGUGUGCGUCCGAUUAGCUAGUUGGUGGGGUAACGGCUCACCAAGGCGACGAUCGGUAGGGGGUGUGAGAGCAUGACCCCCCACACGGGUACUGAGACACGGACCCGACUCCUACGGGAGGCAGCAGUAAGGAAUAUUGGACAAUGGAGGGAACUCUGAUCCAGCCAUGCCGCGUGAAGGAUGAAGGCGCUCAGCGUUGUAAACUUCUUUUGGAUGGGAACAAUAACUUCUACGUGUAGGAGCUUGAGGGUACCAUCAGAAUAAGCACCGGCUAACUCCGUG
rnacentral:rRNA from 1 species